UCCACCCCGUCGCCCCCUCGGCGGCCGAUCCAUCCCUUGCCGCGGCCGAUCCAAUCCUUCGCCCUCUCGUGCGCUAGGGUUCCUUGAGUUGCCGCCGCACCGGAGCUCCUCGCCCAGCCCCACCUCCUGCCGCUCCACCCACUGCUUCUCCCUCCGCUCGCUGCACUUGCCCUCUCCGCCGCGCCCGCCUUCCCCGAUGGUCGCCCCCUUCCCCGUCGACCCCGGAGAAUCGGCGCCUUGAGGUUGGGGAACUCGGCAGCCAUGAUCUGAAGGACGUAGGGAAGCCGCCCCCCUCGCCGGAUACAACCUAGGUUAUUGAGGUGCUACGGGGCUAGAAGCUCAACCAACGAUAGCAGGACGGCCGACCGAUCUGGGCCAGCGUGGAAGGAGAACUCGGCGGCGGCUCGGCCAACUGUUCUGGGAUGUUUUGGUGAACUCUCCAUACUGCUGCGCGUAUAGGUGUGUACUAGCCUGACCGCUCACUCCCCUGGGAUCCGAUAAUAAGUUCACAUAGAGUUCGGCCGGCGGUGGCAGCUCCGCCAAUAGUCGUGCGAUUAAGGCUUCACAAUCAGCAGAUUAGAAGACUGAUUUAGCGCUAGGAUCCAUCGCCAUUGGAGGGCCUUGACUUCUUUUCAUUCCUUGCGAGAACGGUUCUUGCCAUGAACGACGGGGCUCUCUCUGUGGCCCUGGUCUAAAAGCUAAAAUAGUGAACAAGAUGUGUCUUGCCAUUUGCAGUAUUGGGUACGUAUCUUUUGCACUUGCUCCCUAAAGAAGCAAUCAGAUAGAUUAACUACAACCCAAAAGCAGCAGCCUGUUACUAUUUUAUAUCAUCUAUUGAUGAUUUGUUUUUUCAGAAUUGCAUUGGCAAGUGAUGAAAAGGUGUAAUGUUCACGGAUUUUUGUUGGGUGAUCUGUUGGUCCGGUUUAAUUUUAGCAGGCAUCUGGGUAUUGUUUAUGAAUUGAUGGCGCACCUUGCUUAAAUCCUACUAACAAUCUUCUCAACACAUGUCAUUGCUUUUUGUUAGAUGCAUUUAACACAUUUAGGAAGGACGUUUCAAGGGCCUUCUUUCUCGAUCUGGAGCCCACUGUUAGUAGAUUAUGGCAGGCUACUCAAAAUAUGUCAUGUUGUUGAAACUUUUUUGUAUUUGCAAUGAUAUUGGUGUUGGACCAUUAGAGUAUAUAUGCCCCGUUGAACGUGGGCGGGUUGGCGAAGGGCGUGUCUGCGGCCGACCUGGAGGUCGUGUUCGGCUCCAUUGGCUGCGUCGCUGGCGUUGAGUUCGUGCGCACCAGCGGCUGUAGCUUCGCCUACAUCGACUUCCACUGCCUCUCCCACGAGGUCAUGACCAAGUUGUUCUCCACCUUGCUAUGGGUUCUCAUAGUUCCCCUGUCUCAGUUUAUUGGAAUGGCGAUUCAAGAAGGAACAUCAUCUUGUGGAUGGACCAUAGGGCUCUUGACCAAGCCGAGCGAAUUAAUUCUCACAAUUCACCGAUAUUGCAAUUUAAUGGUGGGAGUGUCUCCCCAGAAAUGCAAGCUCCAAAGUUAUCACUUCACAAUCCUAGAGGAUAUGGAUAAAUAGUUUUGAAUUAUUUUGUAGUGAGAAGGUCGGUAUAAAAGGUUUGUUGUGUAUUUUACAGUUAUCUCCAUUGAUGGUAUCGUAUUAACUUACCUUUUAUAGAUUUUAUGGGUAAAGGUAAAUCUGCAAAAAUCUUGGUCUAUGGUAUAUAGGUGAGUUUCAAAUCAUAACCUCUCUAAGCCUGUAAUAAGCUAUGAGUUGAAUUUCUAUCAAGUUUUGCUUUCAUUGUUUUUUUCUAGGGCAACUGGUGACCAACUGGUGAUUAGUCUGGCUUUAAUUCAUUAAAACGUGGUUUACCCCUGUUUUAUUUGGGGACUAACUCAUGAGCUCACGAUUAGCCCACGAGUGACCCCUGGUGUUCACCUAGAACAUGUGAAUAGCUGACCAAGUAUUUUUAGGGCAUCUGAGUAUGCCACUGGUGAUGUACUGAUAUCUGUUGUUCGAACUCAAAAUUGUCCAUAGUUUAAUCCUGGUUUUCACCCAAGGUUUUAACUUUCAUUCGAUCAACAUUUUAAAUGUAUUGUAUACUUCAACUUUUAUCUGCUCUUAUGACGAAGAAGUUCCUUGCUUCCCUGUUAAAUAUUAUAUAAAUGCAUGUGAACUAUAGGGAAUUAUUUUCUAACAUUCAUACUAGAAUAAACUAUUUUCAGUUUUCAGGUUAUGCCUUUCUUGCAAUGAUUGCAUAUGUGAAGUUGAUGCUUAAUUACUUCCUACAUUUAGAAGAUUGUAACUUUUGCUAUAUAAACAUGCAUGGUGAGAUGAAGGGUUGAUGAGUGAUAUGCAUUUUGCAGAUCAGGUUAUAUUUCCUUGGUAGCAUGGCAGUAGCACCCAAUCAGACCACAGCCUCGGCGGGUGUGCUCUGCGAUCUUGGCCACCGUCGGCAGGUUCGACCUCCGCCGCCACUGAAAGCUGCCCCUGCUCAUCACCAUAUCAACGCCGAGGCGACUUGGAUCAGGGAGCAUAUGGAGCGACACUUGCAGAGGCGAUGUCAGCGGCUGUCGAGUGCUGACCCACCCGUUGGCUACCUCUGAGAGUGGCACAUGGUACUGAAUCAACGCCGAUUCCCUCGCCAUGCCCCUUCCCUGAGCUGCACUUUCUCGCCUCGUUAAGCAAGUGAUAUACAAAGUGGAGCAAGAAUUAACACCAUGGAAGAAGAGGAAUACAACUUUUUGUGGUACGUGACAUAUCCGAUGAAAUGUAGUGCAGCCAGGUACUACGUAUUUUAAAUUUUGCAUGAGGGCCGCCACCCACAUACCACGUCCACAAUCCUCGCGAGAGGUAUCACUCCUAUCCCCUCACCGUCUCACCUUCCUCCUGCACAUUACUUUUUUUUGGCUCACUUGCAGUUGUUUUGGUUCAUCAUUGGUCUAAAAAAAAGUACUACAUUGUUACUGAUGAGCAAACUUCUGUGAUAUUGUGAGGCGAAGUAUUUAACUGGUAAGUGUCUGAUGCCCUGAUGUCUUACUUUAAAUCCAUUUUAGACGCAGUAGUAGGACUUCAUAAUAGGAUGGGAGCAACCUGCAUCUUUGGAAUGUACUGAACUAAUUUGAUGAAAAAUAACUACGUACUUUUGAACUGAAUACACUACAGCAAUUGUCGUCAGCAUUGACUACGCCACUGUCAAAUGCAUGUUUGUUUAUUCAUAAUGAUUUCUUAAUCCCUUUAGUUAGAAGAAUCAAAAGCAGUUAAGCACCUAAGCUCGUAAUUCUGCAUUUUUCAUUGUAGUCCCUUUUUUAUCAGAUUGCGCAAUGUCAAUGGUCUCUGUACUCUGAAGAGUCAAGAGUACAUUGUUACUAACUAACAAGGCUCUGUUAUGCACUUAUGCAUCGAGGCGAAGAAGUAUUUACCUAUUGAGUUGUUGAUCAUUUAUUUUGACUUAGACUCUACAUGCAACCAUUUCAUACCAUUUAGCUGCAUUAACUUGGGCAUAAUAUAGCAUCUUCCGUUCAAUUUUCUUUUCCUGUUUUUUGCGAGCUUUAAAACCUUGAGAUACUCAUCGGUGCAUAUCUGAAAAUUCAGGUGCUACACAAAGUGGAAUUUGCGCCGGUGUCAAGAGAACAAGUACAAGUUCCUCAUGUCAUGCCUAUAAGUUUCACUCCAAAUAAUAAAAUGUCCUCAAGGGUCGUACUAAAAAAAGAACUACAUCAGCAAGUUGAUUCAAUAAUCCAUCCUCUGUUUUGCCCCUCGUUGGUUAGUUAUUCAGUUAUGGGUCGGGGUGGGAGUGGGAGUAUUGAUGGCUGCUUCUUCACAAAGUUUUGGGUGAAAGAGCAAAUUGGCAGCAAUUAGUGAGAUCCUACUGGUGGUGGUUUGCGAGUACACGUGAAUAGGAAAUCAGAUGAGAUCAAAUCUCAUGAUUCCAUCUCGUCCCGGUCCUCGGCGGACGGGGUGUCAGGAGGAAUGGGUGUGAAGCUCAAGACCCCAUUUAAUGGAGCCGUCUAUGAUGCAUGCAAUGAGGUCUUAUUAUUGAUGAUGCCAUGUACUACAUUUUGUUUGCAUAAUCCAUCACCUAGCAUGUAUUUGUUAUAACCGAGCACCGCAACGAAUCUGUUAUUUACCUUAGGAGGGUAAGAAAAAACACAAUCAAUGAUAUUAUACAUAAUUCUAGACAUUGUUUUAGAGUAUGUUCUGAAGUAUAUUUUUCUUCCAGUAAAUGUUGGAAAUGUCUAUGUACUUUUUUCUCCCAAUAUGUUAUGGUCAUCUUCCUGCUAUGCAUAUAAAUUUCAUGGCCAGCUUAGCAACUGGUGGUUGGUGAUCCUUUCUACUUCCUCGCCGGCUCGAUAAAUCUCCCGGUUUCCUUCUCCUACCACUCUUCCUCCCUUGUGCUCUGUAACUUGGCCAUUGAUGUGGAUGUUAGUAAUUAGAUGGUGAUAUUUGUUUUAUAGAAAUACUUAUUUUUUUGCGGGUGUUUAGAAAUACUUGUUAGUUGCACAGAUGGAUCCUGCAAGGAAUAAUUUUACAAUGGAAAUGCAUAUCUAUUGAAUUGAUGACUAAACAAGUUUGCGGGCACAUCUAUGAAAAUACAGGCAAAUACAGACAUAGAUUUAAGGGUUCUCAUUCAUUUAAAUCUCAAUGUUGAGAGAAGCCGAUCUCUGGAUAUGAGUAUUUUCUUCCCUGUUUGUGUGAUUGUUUAAUUGAAUGGAUAACUGUGUCUCCUGAAUAUUGUCCCAUGUAAUUGUUUUAAAUCUACCAAAUUAGUUAUCUAAAUCAGUUGAUAUUUUGCAAAGCUUCAAGCUUUAGUUUUUGCACUUCAUGACAUCAAUUGUUUGUGCAGAUUCAAGAUUUAUUUCUGUACAUAGCAGUGAUUAGUGGAUUACUGUCACACGCUCCUGUUGUCAUCCAUGUCUCCUCAGGUGCCUUAGUGAAUUUCUGGCGUACAUGUGAAUAUCUCAUGGAUAUACAAUCAGUACACUCACCUGAACGAGGAUGGCGGUGAGCAGAGCGGGGUUGCGUCUUGUCCUUCUUGCGUCGAAGGUCCGGUGCACCUUUGGUGUGCCUUUGCUGGUUUCUGACUGUCACAAAGAAGUCGGAGCUGCGGACGGCGAGGCCACUGCGGCAACGAUGACUCUAUGAGGACAGUUUUCAGCAAGCGGUGCUCCCCGAAUGUUGCGUUGAACUACGUCGUUGCGUGGCUUGCAACCUUCUCCUAUGAAGCCCGUAUGCAAAAUAGAAACUGUCAUGUCCUAGGUGUUGUGCUCGACUAUUCAUUGUUGCUUCGUGGCUCCGUGCUUCCUCUCCACAGUUAUAUCGUCUUUUGUGAUCUAAUCUUGUUAGUAGUCGGGUCAUCCAUGCGUGCCACUUCUGAAGUUUGUAGUCUAGGUUAGAUACAUCCGUAUGUAGACAAAUCGAAGACAAGUAAUAUAGAUAGGGGGGAGUAUAUUAUUUGACUCAAGCACUCACAACCAACGCACUACACUCAUGCACGUGAAAAAAAAAUCGUAUUUUGAUCAAUAUCCCUAUGUAAGUUUGUUGUUCCGAGGCAAUCACGUAUGAAUUGAAGAGAGGUGGUGAAUACUUGAUCUUCAUGAGGUCUUUUCCUCUAAAAAAACGAUGUAUUCAAUUUUUUUCCCAUUGCAUUAUGUGUUUUAGAGUUUUCUACUGACACCAGGUUCAUGGCAUUGUAAAAGAAGUAUUGAUUCAAGAUAAACCGAACCUUUUCUAUUUACAAUCAACUUAUUAUUGAAGGUUGCA